GGCAGUGUGGUGUAGUGGCUUGAGCAUUGAUCUAUAUAACAAUGGAGACCAGGGUUCAAAUCCCUACUCAGCCA